rnacentral:lncRNA from 1 species
AGCAUAUAGAAAAUAUAUUUAUCGCAACCUGAAGUGAUUUGGAAAGUAUGCUGGGAAGAAAAUAUAUUUACAAAUUAGUCUCAGAGGGUAGGUAUCCUGUAGCCAGAUGGAAUAAGAAGAGAGGGAAGGGAGAUUUUGUUCAAAGGGGGAGCAUAAGCUAAGGAAUAAAGCCACAAACAAUGAUUAAAUUAGGUAAAGUGCAAUUAGCUGAAUAUUGCAUAAGCAUACAUAUGGGAAGAAGUGGAAAAAGGAGUGACAAUAUGAAGCUAAAGGGUUUGAAGUGUUCAAGAUAAUACUAGGCUUCCUAGCCUAUUCCGAGACAUCUUGUUUUAGAGUGCAAUAGAUAAGAACUCUAAGGAUGAAAGUAGGAGACAUGCAUUCUAGUCUACGUUUUGGUUAAUGGACUGAAAGUGAAAGAUGGACUGAAAUUGGGGGAUGGAAUAAAAAUGUGAUAGAAUAGAAAAUAGAAAAAGCAAUUAGCCUAAUGUCAUUGAUACUUAGAGAAAAUAUGGAAAAUAGUAAAUUAGUGAUAUAUAUCUUUUCUAAUUCACCAGGGUGAGUGAACAAAGGAAAUCGGAUUUAAAAGUAUUCAUGACAUAGAUGCAAUAAGGUUUCUCAGUCAGACAUAGCAAAUUGAGGGAAGGGAAGAUUUAGAGGAUUGGAAAAUGUCUUGCUUGUAGACUAAUAGGAUAUCAAUAAGCCAUAUGAGCAAUAAUUUGAAAUAGUUUUUGUAAAGUAUCAUGAAGGUAAACCCUGUUUAGAACAAAUUAGAUUUGAAGUACUUGUGACAAAUGCAAUUGACAAUGCCUUUAUGCAGCUGGAAAAUUGUUGCUUAGCAGAAAAGCUUGUGCUGGACAAAUAGAUGUCCAAAUUGAAUAGAUGUUUUCUUAAGCUGAACUAAUUGAGACAAAUAUCCUUAUUAAAUCAAAAAAUUAAAAAUUGAAAUAACUUACCUAUGAUAGGGUAAAUAAUGUUAUUAAUAUACACAAGAAAUAUGUGAUGUAUAUGUGUAUGUACAUAUGUAUACAUAGUAAUAAUACAUAGUGCUAUUUUUAAAUGAUAUUUUACAUAGUGCUUUUUUAAAUGAUUUUUCAAUCAUCGUUGUUGGUCUGUGUUAUUUUAAUCAUCAAAGCUGAUUGAUUUCUGUUUUUGUGUUUUUUUUUGUUUUUUUUGAGGUGGAGUCUCACUCUGUCACCCAUGGUGGAGUACAGUAGUGCGGUCUUAGCUCACUACAAACUCCACUUCCCUGAUUCAAGUAAUUCUUGUGCCUCAGCCUCUCGAGUAGCUUGGAUUGCAGGCAUGCACCACCACGAGCUGCUAAAUUUUUUGUAUUUUUUGUAGAGGGGUUUUGCCAUGUUGGCCAAGCUGGUCUCAAACUCCUGACCUCAAGUGAUCCGCCCUGGCUUCCCAAGCCCAGCUGAUUCCUGUUUAAAUAAAAACUUACAAAGAUCUUCCCACAAGUACUUUAUCUUACAAUUUACUGAACAAUAGAGGCAGUGAAGAUGUUUUUCAGAAAGCAAUUGUGAUCCUGACAUUUUCUUCUUAUAAUCCUGUGCUUUCCUCAUUUUUUUAUAUUAAAAGUAAUAGUUCUUGUGAUGGCAACUAGGAUUUGUAACAACAUGUACCCUCAUUUCCUGCAUGACCUUUUUUAUGUCACUUCUUCACAUGCAAAGUAUACUCCCUCAGUGUCAUUACAUUAUUUGAUUUUUGCCCUUUCCCUCACCUUUCCAUGUGUUUAUUUGCCUAUGCCCAUCUCCUAGUCACAUUUUAUCUAGUUAACGCCAACUUGACUUUCAAUGCUGUUCAAGAUUUACCUCAAUCUCAAGUGUUUUCUCUUUAUAUUCCAUACACGCUUAGCUUGGCUGCCAAUCCUCUUGGCUGCCAAAGAAUCCCAAAUUAUCUCUUUCAAAAAUACAAGAAAUAAAGGAUGGAGGAUAGGAAGGAGGGUGGUCAGGAAAGAACAAAGAAAGGAGGGGAGAGGAAAAAAAGAGAGAAAGAAAGAGAAUUAAAGUUAAGGAGGAAGAAUUUCACACUGAAUUAAAAUUGAUAAUAUUCAGGAAUGAUUUUAUAGUAGGCAUACAUUGAUAAAUAUUAGUUAAAUUAAUGAAUUAUUCCAAAAGAUCAUGAUUUGUAAAAAUUACCCUGAAGCACUUUAGGAAUAUUACAUUGAAAUAGGUAUGCAAUUUCUAAAGAAACUGGACUGCAAAAAUAGCCAUUGUGUGUACCUGUGGACCAGAAUAUUAUAUUUUGCUUAAGUUUGAAGUGUUAAAGUGCCCAACGUGCUCUUAUUUUAACCUAGCAAAUUUUCAGCAGAACUUAAGCUCAUAUAGUAUUUGAUUUUUUCAUUUCUCACAACUGUUGGAAUUCUGUUUUAUUGAAAAUUAUACAAUAAAAUGUUAAAAAAUCUUUGUUCCUGCAGUUAUGCAAUCUUAUGCCAAAGUCAAUAAAUUAUUAAAUUAAAAUCAAACCCACUAAGCCUAACAAUUUGAGAAAAUGAUUAUUAAAACAUAUACCAUUUAGAAGGGCAAUGCCUUUUUAAUAUUAUAGUGAAGACAACCCUAUCAAUUAUUUAAUACACCAAGAAUACAAGGAUAUAAAAUCUUUUUCUCUCAUAUAUCACAUUAUCUGAUGUAUUUAGCUGUGAUGACAUUCCAGAAAACAUCACUUUUUAAAAUUUCUAAGAUUUUAUUAUGUUGCUAGCAAAUCGAUUUUUUUCAAGUACUGUAACAAAAUCCCUAAAUGGGCUUUAUGAGAACUAUUUUCAGUGUGAUAUUAAUCAUAUUUUAUUUAUCAUCCAUACAUAGAUGGUAGCUUAUCUGGUAUUCCUAGUGUUUGAAGUGAAGAGUAACACACACACACAUCCCAAUACCAAUUUAAUUGAUAAAUAUAUAAUCAUUUGUUUUCAAAUAUUUAUGUUGAUACUUGCUUGUGUACUUACUUGUAAUGUAGGUCUGUAAAAGGGACUGUUUUCUUUCUGUGAAACUGAAGCUUAAAGCAGUGCUUGUCACAAAUUCAAAAUCACCUUGCUUUGUCAACAUUUUCAGAUGUUUUUGGCUCAGUCUGAUGACAGCAUCAGUGCAGUAAAGGGAUCUUAUUGAAAUGUUUUAACUAAAGAUAAAAUGCCACCACUAGGAGAAAAAUAAAAUCAAGGAAAUAAACAGAAAAUCAAUAAAUGUGAAAUGUAUUAUAAAUUUAUAUAAUAACAAUGUUGUAUGCUAUAAACAUCUCACUUUGUAAAAUUAACAAGAAUUCAGUGAGGCAGAUCAUUUUCUAUGUGUUCAGAAGUCAAGUCUUUGAUGGCUAAUUUUUAUAUUACUUCAUUACAAUAUCUCUACUGAAGCAAAAUAAUUGCAAAUCUUUUUGAAUGAAAUCAAUUUAUCUUUAAUUUUAGAUAAUAUUUGGUAUAGUUGGCAUAGUUUUGUCACAAAGCAUAGCUAACAUCAAUGUAGCCUUACGACUUCAAAUGUCUUUAUAGAUCUUUUCUGAAAUUGCAAAAUUUUACUUUGAAAUUAUUGUUAAUAUUUACGUUGCACAACCACAAAUGUAGAAAUAAAAUUAUAAAGUCUCCAGAUAAUGUUUUAUUUUAACCACACAUAUGUUGUGAUAGUUUCAAAUAAAUGAAAGCUCUACUGAUUUAUCAUUUUCAACAUCUUUACAUUAUUUAAGUAAUAUUAAUUAUAUUUAUGUAAAAAUACCUGAAUAGUCAUAACGAAAAUUUAAUAAUAAUGUAUAAUAUAUUGUUAACAUCUUUUAUUUUCACAAAAACACCAAGGAAGAAGCAGUGAGUAUUUUUUAUUUAUUUUAAAAAUUAACUUUUCAAUAAAUUAUUUAGGAAUGACUGGAAAUGUGCUGAGACAAAGAAGCAGUUGUCACUGUACACAAACAUGAAAUCAAUUACCUUUUGGAGAGUUUAUGAUGUGUGAGAGCUAGUGAAGUUACAUUGCAGAAGAGCAUAUAAGGAAAUCCAGAUCUGUAUAUAUUGUAGUAUAGUUUUAGUAUAAAUCUCUAAGAUUACACUUUAGACUAAGCCACAUAGUCAAACUGUUGUCUAUUUAUUCCUUUUGAAGAUUGAAACUCCCACAACUUUGGCAGACCAACUCCUCAGAAAACAUUAUUCUUUGACAUCAAUAUGUUUUGCACAAAAUUGAAUGGCAAGUGAAAGGCAUCAAAUGCAUAUUUAACUAUCCGGCUAUUUUGGAGAUUGAAAAAAGAAGACCUGAUUUAUCAUGUGCAAUAUCUCACACAUCUGUCAUUUCUAUUCUACCGCAAUUCGAUGGAGUCUUGUUCUGUGGUCCAGGCUAGAGGGCAGUGGCAUGAUCUCGGCUCACUACAAGCUCUGCCUCCCGGGUUCACGCCAUUCUCCUGCCUCAGCCUCCUGAGUAGCUGGGACUACAGGCGCCCGCCACCACGCCUGGCUAAUUUUUUGUAUAUUUACUAGAGAUGGCUAGUGUUAGCCAAGAUGGUCUCGAUCUCCUGACCUCGUGAUCUGCCCACCUCAGCCUGCCAAAGUGCUGGGAUUACUGGCGUGAGCCACCGUGCCUGGCCAGCAUCCUCUAAUUAUUAUUCAUAGUUUGUGAAUUUAGGCCUACGUGAAUAAUAAUAUAAUAUUUACUAUGAUGUUACUAUCUACCAACCUUAUUUUUCUUUUCUAUAAAAUAGGAGCCAAAAUAAUAUUUAUGUCAUACCUUAUGAAGUUAAAAUAAAAUAUAACGAAUGAGGGGCUU